rnacentral:rRNA from 1 species
GACGAACGCUGGCGGCGUGCUUAACACAUGCAAGUCGAACGGUAAGGCCCUUCGGGGUACACGAGUGGCGAACGGGUGAGUAACACGUGGGUGAUCUGCCCUGCACUUCGGGAUAAGCCUGGGAAACUGGGUCUAAUACCGGAUAGGACCACUGCCUGCAUGGGUGGUGGUGGAAAGCUUUUGCGGUGUGGGAUGGGCCCGCGGCCUAUCAGCUUGUUGGUGGGGUGAUGGCCUACCAAGGCGACGACGGGUAGCCGGCCUGAGAGGGUGACCGGCCACACUGGGACUGAGAUACGGCCAAGACUACUACGGGAGGCAGCAGUGGGGAAUAUUGCACAAUGGGGGCAAGCCUGAUGCAGCGACGCCGCGUGAGGGAUGACGGCCUUCGGGUUGUAAACCUCUUUCAGCACCGACGAAGCGCAAGUGACGGUAGGUGCAGAAGAAGGACCGGCCAACUACGUGCCAGCCGCCGCAGUAACAC